rnacentral:rRNA from 1 species
AACCUUACCAACCCUUGACAUGUGUAUCGCGGUUCCAGAGAUGGUUCCUUCAGUUCGGCUGGAUACAACACAGGUGCUGCAUGGCUGUCGUCAGCUCGUGUCGUGAGAUGUUCGGUUAAGUCCGGCAACGAGCGCAACCCACAUUCUUAGUUGCCAGCAUUCAGUUGGGCACUCUAGGAAAACUGCCGAUGAUAAGUCGGAGGAAGGUGUGGAUGACGUCAAGUCCUCAUGGCCCUUACGGGUUGGGCUACACACGUGCUACAAUGGUAGUGACAAUGGGUUAAUCCCAAAAAGCUAUCUCAGUUCGGAUUGGGGUCUGCAACUCGACCCCAUGAAGUCGGAAUCGCUAGUAAUCGCGUAACAGCAUGACGCGGUGAAUACGUUCCCGGGCCUUGUACACACCGCCCGUCACACCAUGGGAGUUGGGUCUACCCGAAGGCGGUGCGCCAACCAGCAAUGGAGGCAGCCGACCACGGUAGGCUCAGCGACUGGGGUGAAGUCGUAACAAGGUAAGCGUAGUGCU